rnacentral:rRNA from 1 species
GCCUUGCAUUUCUUCACAAGAAUAGGGAGUUCAAGAAGGCCUUACUUUUUGUUCGAGAGUGAAAUGAACAAGCAGAAGGUUACUGCAGCUGCCUGUCAAGCUGUAAAUUCUUUAAUACAGUUGAUGAAGAACCCAUCUACACCUCAACGAUUCUGGCUAUCUCUAUUGAAUGAAUCUGUGGAACUGCUUAUGUGGCCAGAUCAUGCUUUAAUCAAUGUUGCUGAAACUAACCUGUUGUUAAACAAGUUUCAAGAACUGUCUCUAGCAAAGGUCCGAGGUGAUUUGGAGGUUUCUCAUAAUGACGAGUCUCCUCAAGCUGUCCAGCAUGUGAGGCUGGCACUUGCUACAAACCUUGGCCGUGCUAUAUGGCAAGAGUGAACACUGUUGAUUUGAUAUAUCAAAAUCCUGUAAGUUGGCAAUAAUUUGUGAAGAGC